UGGCGAGCUUAACCGAAUAGGGGAGGCGUAGCGAAAGCGAGUCUUAAUAGGGCGUCUAGUCGCUGGGUAUAGACCCGAAACCGGGCGAUCUAUCCAUGGGCAGGUUGAAGGUUAGGUAACACUGACUGGAGGACCGAACCGACUACCGUUGAAAAGUUAGCGGAUGACCUGUGGAUCGGAGUGAAAGGCUAAUCAAGCUCGGAGAUAGCUGGUUCUCCUCGAAAGCUAUUUAGGUAGCGCCUCAUGUAUCACUGUAGGGGGUAGAGCACUGUUUCGGCUAGGGGGUCAUCCCGACUUACCAAACCGAUGCAAACUCCGAAUACCUACAAGUGCCGAGCAUGGGAGACACACGGCGGGUGCUAACGUCCGUCGUGAAAAGGGAAACAACCCAGACCGUCAGCUAAGGUCCCAAAGUCAUGGUUAAGUGGGAAACGAUGUGGGAAGGCUUAGACAGCUAGGAGGUUGGCUUAGAAGCAGCCACCCUUUAAAGAAAGCGUAAUAGCUCACUAGUCGAGUCGGCCUGCGCGGAAGAUGUAACGGGGCUCAAACCAUGCACCGAAGCUACGGGUAUCACGUAAGUGAUGCGGUAGAGGAGCGUUCUGUAAGCCUGUGAAGGUGAGUUGAGAAGCUUGCUGGAGGUAUCAGAAGUGCGAAUGCUGACAUGAGUAACGACAAUG
rnacentral:rRNA from 1 species